rnacentral:lncRNA from 1 species
CAACCAGUAAUUGUUAGAAUGUCGAGCUUCAGCAUUGCAUGUUUUUUUAAAUAUUAGCCCCCACACAAUAUCCUCCUUUCAGCUUUAGUACCAUGAUACUCGGGAAAGAUGGGCCUCAAAUGAGCUUCCUCGCUAUAAAAGAAACAGAACGUAGAUCUAAAACUUUAAGAUUUGGUGGUUGUCCAAUAGCUUAUAUGGGAACAACUAAAUCUAAUUUGUGUAUCCUCUAACUGCAACUUCAAUAAAUUGUGAAGCAUAUGGAUCAACUCAGUUACUUUGACUAGCUCGCCUUCUAGCUUGAGGCUCUCAAGUUGCAUUGGUAGCAACAAAUCCUCACCACCCAAACAGCUAUCUAACUCAUGACCCUUCACCCAAACAGCGAUUGGAGUUGCUUGUCACUAGGAAUAGCGACAAGAACUUCUUGAUGUAUUUGUUGUGUACACCAGCCACACCAAGCUUACAUAGUUGAGUAAGCUCUUGAAGCUCUUUGAGAGUGGUCUGCUUCUGCUUCAUUCAACAUUAACAACUCCUAGUGUGCAGGCCUUCAAUUUCCUUAUUCCUCUAAGAGCUUAGCACACCACCAAACAUAAGUGUAAAGAAGCAGAUUGUAUGUUGAAUACAUCUCUCCUGUUCAAAUCGUCGUCUAGAGCAUGUGGCUUCCAUGGAUGAAGAUAUAAUAUGAGUAAGUUUGAAAGUCAGAUUGGUUUAUUCUAAUCCGGACAAAAAAUUCUUGUUUGAACGCAUAUAUAUUUUUUAGGGGUUGCUACAAUAUUUUUAAAAUCUUUGACUCGUGAUCCUAUUACUAAGUUUAGUUUUCCUUAACGACUAGCAAAGGUUAAGCUUGAAGAGUCAUGGUAGUUAACAGCCGUUAUAAACCGUUAAUAUAACAUGUAGAAGGGC